AUAUCUUGAUGGAUUUAUUCAAGUCAGAUUCAUAGACGCAUUACUAUCAAGAGGUGCUUUUUUUUGAUUUUCACCUUUAAUGGAAAAGAUAUGCGACUCCUUUAUGAUUUGAAUUCAUUCUUAGAAGUAUUUAUGGCCAUUAUAGAAUAGAUAUUAGUUUGUUUGUAUAAGAUAUUAGUUAAAUAGACUAAUAGUCUAUAGAACAGUGAGUUGAAGAGGACGGAUGGUUAACUUAGUUAUUAAAAGCGAUUAAUUACAGGAUUAUGGUUAGAAUUUGGGAAUUGGAAGUAAGUAUAUAGGAAUUGUAGAAGUUAGGAUGAGUGCCAAACUGUGAUAGUUAUGACCUGGGAAAGCUUGGUGCUACCUCUUUUUCUCUUUGUUUCUUUAUUCUUGAAAAAUAAUGGAUAGUUUCUGAAUAUUGAGAAGUGAGUCUAUGGAAUAAAUCAGAGAUUGAUUUAUGAAUUAUUGAUUAUGUAAUUGGAGCACUGAGUGAUUGAAUUAUAUGAGGAAUUAUUGGAAGAUUAUGAUUGUUGUUUAUUGAGAGUUGUGUGUAUGUUUUGACAAAAAAAGUCUGUGAUUAUAGAAAUUAUAUGAAUUGAGAUUGGUUGGAGUGAAGUCUGUUAUUUCUGGUGUUAGAUGAAAUUAUUGUGUUUUGAGCGGUCUUUUGAGAGUACAAGGUUGCACAUUGUUGUUAUCAAUUGAUGAAGGAGUAUUGUUACUAGGAAAAA
rnacentral:lncRNA from 1 species